UCUACGGGGGGCAGCAGUGGGGAAUAUUGGACAAUGGGGGCAACCCUGAUCCAGCCAUGCCGCGUGUGUGAAGAAGGCCCUCGGGUUGUAAAGCACUUUCAGUGAGGAAGAACGCCUGGUGGUUAAUACCCAUCAGGAAAGACAUCACUCACAGAAGAAGCACCGGCUAACUCCGUGCCAGCAGCCGCGGUAAUACGGAGGGUGCGAGCGUUAAUCGGAAUUACUGGGCGUAAAGCGCGCGUAGGUGGCUUGAUAAGCCGGUUGUGAAAGCCCCGGGCUCAACCUGGGAACGGCAUCCGGAACUGUCAAGCUAGAGUGCAGGAGAGGAAGGUAGAAUUCCCGGUGUAGCGGUGAAAUGCGUAGAGAUCGGGAGGAAUACCAGUGGCGAAGGCGGCCUUCUGGACUGACACUGACACUGAGGUGCGAAAGCGUGGGUAGCAAACAGGAUUAGAUACCCUAGUAGUC
rnacentral:rRNA from 1 species